rnacentral:rRNA from 1 species
UACGUAGGGCGCAAGCGUUGUCCGGAAUUAUUGGGCGUAAAGAGCUCGUAGGUGGUUUGUCGCGUUGUUCGUGAAAACUCACAGCUCAACUGUGGGCGUGCGGGCGAUACGGACAGACUUGAGUACUGCAGGGGAGACUGGAAUUCCUGGUGUAGCGGUGGAAUGCGCAGAUAUCAGGAGGAACACCGGUGGCGAAGGCGGGUCUCUGGGCAGUAACUGACGCUGAGGAGCGAAAGCGUGGGGAGCGAACAGG